AGAGUUUGAUCCUGGCUCAGAUUGAACGCUGGCGGCAUGCUUUACACAUGCAAGUCGAACGGUAACGCGGGGCAACCUGGCGACGAGUGGCGAACGGGUGAGUAAUACAUCGGAACGUGCCCAGUAGUGGGGGAUAGCCCGGCGAAAGCCGGAUUAAUACCGCAUACGACCUACGGGUGAAAGCGGGGGAUCGCAAGACCUCGCGCGAUUGGAGCGGCUGAUAUCAGAUUAGGUUGUUGGUGAGGUAACGGCUCACCAAGCCGACGAUCUGUAGCUGGUCUGAGAGGACGACCAGCCACACUGGGACUGAGACACGGCCCAGACUCCUACGGGAGGCAGCAGUGGGGAAUUUUGGACAAUGGGCGCAAGCCUGAUCCAGCCAUGCCGCGUGAGUGAAGAAGGCCUUUGGGUUGUAAAGCUCUUUUGUAGGGGAAGAUAAUGACUGUACCCUAAGAAUAAGGUCCGGCUAACUUCGUGCCAGCAGCCGCGGUAAUACGAAGGGGGCUAGCGUUGUUCGGAAUUACUGGGCGUAAAGCGCGCGUAGGCCGUUGAGUUAGUUAAUUGUGAAAUCCCAAAGCUUAACUUUGGAACUGCAAUUAAAACUGCUCGACUAGAGUUUGAUAGAGGAAAGCGGAAUACAUAGUGUAGAGGUGAAAUUCGUAGAUAUUAUGUAGAACACCAGUUGCGAAGGCGGCUUUCUGGAUCAACACUGACGCUGAGGCGCGAAAGUAUGGGUAGCAAAGAGGAUUAGAUACCCUCGUAGUCCAUACCAUAAACGAUGAUUGCUAGAUGUUGGAAAUUUAUUUUCAGUAUCGCAGCUAACGCAUUAAGCAAUCCGCCUGGGGAGUACGACCGCAAGGUUAAAAC
rnacentral:rRNA from 1 species